rnacentral:rRNA from 1 species
AUGGAGGACAGGGAAGUCGAUGCCUUGCUCGCGCACUGCCCCAAAUUAAAGAUAUUCUCGUUUGCCAUGGCGUCCGGCCCCCCUCCCCCCAUCUGCAGCAGGGCUGACAGUCACUGCUUCCUACUUGGCUCGGCGGGCGGCUCCCCUUUUCGCUUCUGUGUCAGGUCCCGCAGCCUCCGUAUCGUGGUCGAAUGGAUAUGCAACUUCGAUGAAAUCAUCGCCGAGGAUGUCCCCUGCCUGGAGCGCCUGCUCUUCGAAUGCAGUUACGAUCAGAGGCCCAUCAAGAUUCUCCAUGUGCCCAGGCUGGAGGUGCUCGGCUUCUUGGACCUUAGCCUUCACGCACUGGAGAUUGGUGGCAGCAUCAUCAUGGCUGGGAUGAAUGUGAGAGCUAGUGCCAUGCUACCAAGUUUAAAGGUACUUGCUGUCAAGGUGCGGUUUUCGCACGACAUGGAGGUUAAGAUGCUGCACACUCUGCUCAGAUGCUUUCCUCACCUCCAGACGUUUCACGUUAUGUCCAUUCGAUCCAGUUCACUUGACACCGUCGGUUGUGCUGAGUUUUGGGAGUCCAUGGACUCUUGCGAUUGCCUCAAAUCUCAUCUAAAGACAUUCGUCUUCCACGGAUUCCAGGGCCUGGACUGUGAGUACAUGUUGCUUGGUUAUAUCUUGAAGAACGGGAAGGUACUCAAGACAUUGGGCAUUGUUUGUAGUGACGGUGAUGGUGUAUUGGAGGAAGUUCUGAUGUCAGAUUCUUUUGGUGUGGGCAAUGCGCCAUCAGGUGAAUGUAGUGGCAGUAAUGAUGUGAUCAUGGAGCGAGGCCCUAUCUCAGGUUAUGUUGGCGAGGGCAGUGUGUCAUUCGGUGGAAGUAGUGGCAGCCCUGAUGUGGUAAUGCAGGGAGGCCCAAUGUCAGGUUCCUGUGGUGAGGGUGAUGCUCCAGGUGGAAGCAGCAGUAGUUUUAUUUAUAUUUGCCCCGCCACCCCUGGUUGGAGCUUUCAGAACGCCAUUGACUUGUCAGUGGAGGAUCCCUUCUGCGUGUUGAGGCAUGACAAGGCCCGUAUGGCUUCUCGAGUUGAGGCAUGA